GGGCCGGUAGCUCAGUUGGUUAGAGCAGGGGACUCAUAAUCCCUUGGUCCGGGGUUCAAGUCCCUGCCGGCCUAC
rnacentral:tRNA from 1 species